UACGGAAGGCAGCAGUGGGGAAUAUUGCACAAUGGGCGAAAGCCUGAUGCAGCUAUGCCGCGUGUAUGAAGAAGGCCUUAGGGUUGUAAAGUACUUUCAUCGGGGAGGAAAAAACAAAACUAAUAAUUUUAUUUCUUGACGUUACCCGAAAAAGAAGCACCGGCUAACUCCGUGCCAGCAGCCGCGGUAAUACGGAGGGUGCUAGCGUUAAUCAGAAUUACUGGGCGUAAAGCGCACGCAGGCGGUCUGUCAAGUCGGAUGUGAAAUCCCCGGGCUUAACCUGGGAACUGCAUUUUGAAACUGAAAUACUAGAGUAUCGUAGAGGGAGGUAGAAUUCUAGGUGUAGCGGUGAAAUGCGUAGAUAUCUGGAGGAAUACCUGUGGCGAAAGCGGCCUCCUAAACGAAUACUGACACUGAGGUGCGAAAGCGUGGGGAGCAAACAGGGAUUAGAUACC
rnacentral:rRNA from 1 species